rnacentral:lncRNA from 1 species
ACUGUCUCAUUUCAAGAACUCUCUCCCUUCAGUUCCCCCUCCAUAAAUGAAGGAAAGGAUAAAAGAUUGAACCUCAGAAAAACACAAUGCCAGAAGACACAAUGUUUGGACCUUUUAACUCUGUUUUUACAUUUUUAUGUUGAGACAGUUUUUUAAAAAAAAUAAGAAGACUCACACACAUCUCUGAGAAUCUGAGGCCAGCACAAAGCAUUAGAGUGUUCCAGGCAAGUCAGGGCUACACACUGAUACCCUGUGACUCA